AGAGUUUGAUCCUGGCUCAGAACGAACGCUGGUGGUGCGUUUUAAGCAUGCAAGUCGAACGAUUUUUGAUUUUUAAUUUCGGUUAAGAAUUAAAGAUAGUGGCGAACGGGUGAGUAACACGUAAGUAAUCUACCUCCGGGUGGGGUAUAGUAUGUGGAAACAUAUAGUAAUCCCGCAUGAUUUUUAUUACUUCAUUGGGUAAUAAAAGAAAGACCCCUUAAAGGGUCGCCUGGAGAUGAGCUUGCGGUCCAUUAGCUAGUUGGUAGGGUAAAGGCCUACCAAGGCGACGAUGGAUAGCCGGCCUGAGAGGGUGAUCGGCCACAUUGGGACUGAGAUACGGCCCAGACUCCUACGGGAGGCAGCAGCUAAGAAUCUUCCGCAAUGGGCGCAAGCCUGACGGAGCGACACCACGUGAGCGAUGAAGGCAUUUUGUUGUAAAGCUCUUUUCUGUGGGAAGAAUAAGGUUCAAAGGAAAUGUUGGAUUGAUGACUGUACCACAGGAAUAAGCCCCGGCUAAUUACGUGCCAGCAGCCGCGGUAAUACGUAAGGGGCUAGCGUUGUUCGGAAUCACUGGGCGUAAAGGGCGUGUAGGCGGCUAAGUAAGUGUGGUUUGAAAUAUCCAGGCUUAACCUGGAAAACGGGCCGCAAACUAUUUGGCUAGAGUACAGGAGGGGAAGCUGGAAUUCCUAGUGUAGGGGUGAAAUCUGUAGAUAUUAGGAAGAACACCAGAGGCGAAGGCGGGCUUCUGGCCUGAUACUGACGCUGAGGCGCGAAAGCAUGGGUAGCAAACAGGAUUAGAUACCCUGGUAGUCCAUGCCCUAAACGUUGUGCACUAGGUGUGGGGAGUGUUAUGCUUUUCAUACCGUAGCUAACGCAUUAAGUGCACCGCCUGGGGAGUAUGCUCGCAAGGGUGAAACUCAAAGGAAUUGACGGGGGCCCGCACAAGCGGUGGAGCAUGUGGUUUAAUUCGAUCAUACGCGAAAAACCUUACCAGGGCUUGACAUAUACUUUUAAGAUAUGGAAACAUAUCUGCCUAGUUAUCUAGGAGGGUAUACAGGUGCUGCAUGGUUGUCGUCAGCUCGUGUCGUGAGAUGUUGGGUUAAGUCCCGCAACGAGCGCAACCCUCACUGUUAGUUGCCAUCAGGUAAUGCUGGGCACUCUAGCGGAACUGCCGGUGAUAAAUCGGAGGAAGGUGGGGAUGACGUCAAAUCCUCAUGGCCUUUAUGUCCUGGGCUACACACGUGCUACAAUGGCUGGUACAAAGAGUUGCGAUACUGUGAAGUGGAGCUAAUCUCAAAAAACCAGUCUCAGUUCAGAUUGGAGUCUGAAACUCGACUCCAUGAAGUUGGAAUCGCUAGUAAUCGCGGAUCAGCAUGCCGCGGUGAAUAUGUUCUCGGGCCUUGUACACACCGCCCGUCACACCACCCGAGUUGAAGAUACCCGAAGUCGUAUUGUAUGCGCCGAAGGUAUGUUUAGUAAGGGGGGUGAAGUCGUAACAAGGUAACCGUACCGGAAGGUG
rnacentral:rRNA from 1 species